rnacentral:rRNA from 1 species
AACGCGAAGAACCUUACCAAGGCUUGACAUAUACCGGAAACGUCCAGAGAUGGUCGCCCCGUAAGGUCGGUAUACAGGUGGUGCAUGGUUGUCGUCAGCUCGUGUCGUGAGAUGUUGGGUUAAGUCCCGCAACGAGCGCAACCCUCGUUCUAUGUUGCCAGCACGUAAUGGUGGGAACUCAUGGGAUACUGCCGGGGUCAACUCGGAGGAAGGUGGGGAUGACGUCAAAUCAUCAUGCCCCUUAUGUCUUGGGCUUCACGCAUGCUACAAUGGCCAGUACAAUGGGCUGCGAUACCGCAAGGUGGAGCGAAUCCCAAAAAGCUGGUCCCAGUUCGGAUUGAGGUCUGCAACUCGACCUCAUGAAGUCGGAGUCGCUAGUAAUCGCAGAUCAGCAACGCUGCGGUGAAUACGUUCCCGGGCCUUGUA